UGCAUUAUCCAAAAAGCGGAGGAAAAGAAACUAACAAGGAUUCCCCUAGUAGCGGCGAGUGAAGCGGGAAGAGCUCAAAUUUGUAAUCUGGCGUCUUUCAGGCGUCCGAGUUGUAAUCUAUAGAAGUGUUUUCUGUGCUGGACCAUGUCCAAGUCCCUUGGAACAGGGUAUCAAAGAGGGUGACAAUCCCGUACUUGAUAUGGCCACCAGUGCUCUGUGAUACACUUUCUACGAGUCGAGUUGUUUGGGAAUGCAGCUCAAAAUGGGUGGUAAAUUCCAUCUAAAGCUAAAUAUUGGCGAGAGACCGAUAGCGAACAAGUACCGUGAGGGAAAGAUGAAAAGCACUUUGGAAAGAGAGUUAAACAGUACGUGAAAUUGUUGAAAGGGAAACGAUUGAAGUCAGUCGUGUUCAUUGGACUCAGCCGGUUCUUCCGGUCUAUUUCCUUUGAACGGGUCAACAUCAGUUUUGUCCGGUGGAUAAAGGCAGAGAGAAAGUGGCUCCCUCGGGAGUGUUAUAGCUUUUUGUCACAUACACUGGAGGAGACUGAGGACUGCAGCUCGCCUUUUGGCCGGGGUUCGCCCACGUCGAGCUAGGAGUGACAAAACGGAGUU
rnacentral:rRNA from 1 species